GAAUUCCAUCUGAAGAAUGGGCUGGUCAUCCAUUCUCUGCUUGGAUAUUUUGAAUAUAAUAUCAAAGUGGGCACAUUGAUAUCAAUGAGUUUCCUUUUCUAUACUGGUUUUCUCUGCUUUCAUACACACACACACACACACACACACAUACACACAUAUAUAUACAUAUAUACAUAUAUAUAUACACACAACUGAGUAUCCAAAGAAGGAUGUAGGAAAUGGCUAUUCUAGUGUUGGUAAUAAUUUAUGUUUAAUUUACAUAGACAUGGUUCUUUCUUAGGGGGGAUGAUAUGAUAGAAGAUAAUAUGAGAAAAAGAAUGUAUGUAUAUGUAUAACUGGGUCACUUUGUUGCCAGAAUUUAUGCAGCAGAAAUUGACAGAACACUAUAAAUCAGCUAUAAUAAUUUUUUUUUAAAAAAAAGAAAAAUGAAUCUAAGUUGGAGGAAAGGGGCCAACUCUUUAAUAAGGGAAGCAUAACUAAGUGUAUAGUCAAUAAUAGACAACACUCUCUUAGAGUUGAUAGAAUGUUUCCAAAACUCCUGAUACUCUGGAUUUGAUAUCCUGUCUCAGACAACAAUGUAGAUGUCCUGUAUUUGAAACAAGUUUACAUAGCAAAAUAACAAUAUCAUGAUAUCUCUGUUUAAGAUCAAGGAAGAAAUAUGGGCAUGGGUUUCAUUGCCAAGCACACAGUUACUCAUUUUAUUAAAUUUGAUUCUAUGUGGCACAAAAUAACACAGGUCAUUCUGGGACAAUAAAAGGCAUAGGACUUGGAACAAGAUCUUGAUUGUUUUUUUCCCUUGUGGCCAAAUAGUUGAGUGAUUUAGGGCAAGUCAUUUAUUCCUCUGGAUCCUGGCCUGCCUGUUUAUAAAAUGGGAUUCAUAAUAAUUCUCAUCUUAGGGCUCAUGGGAGACUUAAAUAAGGUAAUGCACUUAGACAUACUUUAUAAAUUAUAAAUGAUCAUUUUAAUGGCAGAUACUGUUGAAAAUAUAAUAUUAUCAUUGGUAAAACUACAAUAAUACUACCAAGUUUAUGCCAUGAAAUAGUAUAGUGGUUCAUAACAUUGGCUUAGUAUGAUCUAAAGGGGCUUGUUAGAGUGGUAUUUUCUGGGACUCUUCCAGGUGUGCGGUGCCCAGAAGACUAGACAUUAAGGGAUUUUCCAAUUUUUUGCAGAAGUGUCUGAGAACUACUGUCUCCCAGAAUUAGGCAGAAAAUUUGGUAUGUCAUCCAGGCACCAAUGCAAAAAUAAUAUCAGAUGAAGGAGCUUAAUGAUUUAUUAAUCCCGAAAUCAAGGCAUGUUAGACAUACCUAAGGUCAACACAUCCCCUGAUUCUCUCAGAAUCGAAAGUGUUAAAAACUUCAGUCCAUUAAAGACUCUUGUAAUGAGUAUGUAUCAGAUGGAAAACAAAUGUCAGCCUUUUGUACAUUAGUCCAUGUAGACAUGCGAUUGUACUCUUGUCUUAUACACACACAGGCAUCUUUGCCCUGGCUUCUUAUUCUGGCAACCCCAAUGAGGCGUGAGCAGGGCAUGGUAGAGGAGAGCUAGAGAUCAAAAUGGCCCAAAGUAGAUGGCCUGAAAGUUGAGCAGGAUGGUCGUGAUAUGGAAGACAGCUCUUCUCCUUUGCCUAACCUUUUGCCAAGUCAAGCUAACAUUCGCAAAAUAGAAGAUAUAGACUAAAGAGCUUAUUAUGCCCCAUAGUUCUUAUCCAUAUGUCACAGCUGUAUGCAAUGCCCCUUUCUCCAUUUAUAAUGCUUGAAGUCCCACUCAUCCUUCAAAUCCUGAAAGCUCAAAUCCUUGUUUCCUAUGUGAAGCCAGUUCUAACUUCCCCCACAAGGCAGGUGUUCCUUCCUCCUCCCAAGUGAAUUAAUUUUGUGUGCAUCAAAUUCUCCUUCUAAACUAUAAGCUUCUUUCUGGAGGUAAGACAUGCCUGCUUCAUCUGUGUUUCUUCAGAACCUAGCACAUUGCCUGGCAUAGAGUUUGGUAACUGUUAAUAUCCAGGUGAUUAACAGUGUCACUUUUAAGGAAUAUGUCCUUGAGACUAUGUCCUUGAAGUCACCAUUCUGUUGUCAUUUCUGUGAUUUUUCUAUACUGUAUGGACUCAAUAGGUCUCUAAGCACACAUAUACUGUUUCAUUAUAAUUUGAGGGAAGAAGUAAAUCACAUUAAACUCUUUCAGAUGGAUCACUUUGGCCUGACAAAAAUUCCUAUUGGUUGGUUUGUAUCAUUACCCUAGGUCAAACUACAUAAUUCACCUGUACUUUAAGUAAAGACUAAGUAUAUAGAUAGAUAUUAGUUACUAAAUCUCUUUUUUUCUGGGCUUCAUAAUUGGUUCUAGGCCAAAAUUCAGUUUCAUAUCUCUUUCUGGUUUCUAUCCAUAGAAAUACAUUUUCCCCUGAGUACAACCAUAAGCUCACCCUAGCCCCCAAAUUUCUUCCUUUCCAAAAUGUUAUUGUAUACUUUAUUGAGUUUCAUUCCUUUUUUUUUUUUUUUUUUUUUUUGGUUUUCAGGGCCACACCCAUGGCAUAUGGAGGUUCCCAGGCCAGGGGUUGAAUCGGAGCUAUAGCUGCCUCCUACACCACAGCCACAGCAACGCAGGAUCCUUAACCCACUGAGCCAGGCUAGGGCUCAAACCUGCAUCCUUAUGGAUAUUAGUCAUAUUUGUUUUCCCUGAACCAUGAUGGGAACUCCAAGGAGUUUCAUUCUUAAAUCAGCAGACUUAUCUCUUGACAUGUUAAUUUUCUUAAAUAUUUCUUCAACUUAUCUAUUAGUGUCUUAGAGGAUGAUAUUGAUAACAUAUAACACUUUGGUUUAUUCACAAACUAAGGGGCCAUGUGACAGGUACCUAUUGAAAAAGAUCUGGAAAGUCUGGAGAAUAUAUACAUAGAAAUGUCCUGGUCUGAUAAAACAAAGUAAUGAGUUUCCUAUCACUGAUUGUGGACAAACAAAAGGCAGUUCAAUACAAAAUAUGGGAAUUGGAGAAGCAAUUUAAAUGUUAGAUAAUGGUCACUGCCAGACUUAAAAUUCUCUCAUCUUUCACAUCAUUUUAUUGAGAUCAGAGUUCUAUGACCUCACUUUUAUGUCUUCCUGAAAAUGGUAUGUGAGCCCUACGUAAAUUGUUAACACCGCACCAUUCUAUAUAAUUUUAUCAGCUUGUUUUCUAAUUAGAUGUCCAUUUCCUGACCAUUUCUUUAUAAGUGACAAUUUGAUCAGAGUCAUAAAAAAUUGAGAAUGGAGAUAUUCAUAUGAGGCUUGUUGAUUUCACAAUGUUCUGAAAUGACUCAUCCCCAACCCUACUCUACCUCUCUUCUGCCUUAUCAUCACCAUCAGAACAUUUGUAAAAUAAGAGAUGAUCUGUCCUGUGACUUUUUUGGUAUUUCUAGGAUUGUCCUCUUAUUCAUUACUUUUAGUGUUCACUCACUGCGUCUUCCUUCCCCUUCUCUGCUAUUUGCAUCAUUUUUUUUUUCUUUUUUCUUUUUUCUUUUUCUUUUUUCUUUUUUGCCUUUUAGGGCCACAUCCAUGGCAUCUGGAGUUUUCCAGGCUAGUGAUCAAAUUGGAGCUGCAGCUGCCGGCCUAUGCCACAGCCACAGCAACACAGGAUCCAAGCCGUGUCUGAGACCUACACCACAGCUCACGGCAAUGCUGGAUCCUUAACCCACUGAGCAAGGCCAGGGAUUGAACCCGCAACCUCAUGGUUACUAGUCGGGUUUGUUAACCACUGAGCCACGAUGGGAACUCCUGCAUAAUUUUUUAAUAGUUCAUUUACAACAUAUUAGUUCAUGUGUACAAGAUAGUGAUUCAAUAUUUUUAUAGAUUAUAAUCUAGUUACAGGUAUUUUAAAAUAUUGUUUAUAUUACCUGUGCUGUAUAAUAUAUCCCUGUAUCUUAUUUAUUUUAUAAUAGCAGUUUGUCCCUAGUAAUCUCAUCCCCCUAUUUUGUUCUUCCCCCAAACCUUCUCUCCACUGGUAACCACUAGUUUGUUCUCUAUAUCUGUGAGGCUGUUUCUGUUUCAUAUGCAUCACUUUGGAUGAGACAUGGGGGCCCAUAUCCCCUCCCCUUUUCUGCCUGGAAGUGCUUAUGGAGCUCGGAGAAUGACUUGAAGUUGGAUUGUUUAUCACUGUGCUGAAAAAUGGAAGGAUGGCAUCACUACAGGAGCAGAUGGCACUGUAUGUUUGGCAUAAUUUUCUCAGACAAACUAGGACUAGGGCUGUGAAUGCUGGCAUUUGCCUGCUAUAUAGUCAUCUACGUCAAAACAUAACAAUGAAAAUAAGGGACUUUGUGGAAAAGGCAUUGAGGUUUUAAAUUAUGUGCAUUUAAGUGCCAUAGGCUCCUGUUGUAUGCAUACAACUUGGUUGAACUUCUGACAUUCUUCAUUAAGCAGAAUUUUAUAUAUGACCAAGCUUUUUCGUGUUUAUCUUCCUUUGUAUUUCCACAAAUGUUCUCAGGUAGUGCUAUAUUAGAAAAUUGCUUUUAAGCAUGUAGAGUAUGUUUGAAACAAAUAGAAAUCGAAAUGAUGGCAUAAAGAAUAAGAAUGUGUUUUAAAUUCUGAGAACCAAGAAAUAUCUGAAAGAAAAAUAUGCGGUGAUGAAGGGAUCAUUAAUCUUUGUUUUACAAAACUCAAAUUAAGGUUAUACUACUUACUUACUGGGUGAUUUUAGACAAUUCAAACAUAUUAAACUUAUUGUUUUUCUCACUGAGUAAAUGAAGAGUUUGGAUAGGGUGAUUGCUAAGAUUUUUUUCUAAUUCUAAUUUUAUUUGAUUUGCUCUUUCUAUGCAAACUGAUGCAGCAGUAAUAUAGGCCACCCAUUUACUUUUUGGCCUAUUCAUGUGCUUUUUUAAUUUUUAAUUAAUUUAUUUUUAAAGAACAAUGGAGAGAAAGGAGAGAGAACACAAUGCAAAUGGCCUCAGGACUCAGGAUGCAUUUUAUUUCUGAAGUACAUACCACUUUUUCUUCCCUUUCUUCCUCUUUCCUCCCUUAGAAUCGAUACUUCUGUGCCUCACAUUUUUUUUUUGUCUUUUUGUCUUUUUAGGGCUGCACCCACAGCAUAUGGAGGUUCCCAGGCCAAGGGUCAAAUUGGAACUACAGCUGCCAGCCUAGGCCAGAGCCACAGCAACGUGGGAUCCAAGCUGCCUGUGCGACCUACACCACAGCUCAUGACAACGCCGGAUUCUUAACCCACUGAGCAAGGCCAGGGAUUGAACCCGCAUCCUCAUGGAUGGUAGUUGGGAUCGCUAACCACUGAGCCACACUGGGAACUCCAUGUGCCUCAAUUUUUAUUUCCUUUGAAGAAAUAGACAACUCCCAAGAAAAUGGCUCUAGUUUCUUAUGUGUUUGAAUUAACAAAUUCAUGUAUCCAUUCUUUUAGUAAACUCUGUUAUAGGCAAGUACUAGGGUAUAGGGAUACAGUGAUGGUUAGGAUAUAUUGUCUGCACUAUGGGGAUUGACAGUCCAGCGCGAAGCAUACUGCAUCUAUGAACCUGUAUACAAAACAGAAUCAGACUCACAGACGUAGAGAAUAGGCUUGUGGUUGCCAAGGACAGGGGAGGAAGUGGGAUGGAUGGGGAUUUUGAGGUUGGUAGAUAGAAACUAUUACAUUUAGAAUGGAUAAGCAAUGAGGUCCUACUGUGUAGCACAAGGAACUAUAUCCAGUCUCUUGGGAAAGAACAUGAUGGAAGACAGUAUGAAAAAAGGAAUGUGUGUGUGUGGGUGUGACACACACAUGUAUAUUGACUGGGUCACUAUGCUGUACAGCAGAAACUGGCACAACACUAAAUCAACCAUGCUUUAAUAAUAAUGAUAAUAAAUACAGAGGACAGAACCAAUUUUACUAAGAAGAUAUGGGAAAAAUGUCACAAAUGAGGUUACAUUGGAGUUUCUUUUUAGAGAAAUUGUUAUAAUUUCUCCAGUGAGGAAAGAAAAAAAUGCUUUAUGCAGAGGGAACAGUGUAUACUAGAACUAAGGGUCAUAAAAAGGUCUGACAUGUUUGGAGAAAACUGAGAAAUUUUAUAUGGCCUGAAUGCAGGGUAUAGAUGAAAAGGGUAGGAAUUAAAGACUAAGAGAAAAAUGUGGGCCAGAUUUUGAAGGCUUUGUAUCCCUGUCUAAAAAAAAAAAAAAAAAAAAAAUUGGGUUUUACCUUUUAAGCAAUAAGAAAAGAACAGAUAUUUUUAUGUACAAAACUAAAUAUGAUGAGAUAGUGUUUUGUAAUAGUUAUGAUUUUGACAGUAAUUUAGAGGAUGUUUUACCUGAAAGCUAGAAUCUCAGACCAUUUGAAGUAGUCUGGGGGAAAAUGCUAAGAACCUGAAUUAAAAGAAGCAGGGGGGAAAUAUUUCUGAGGUAGGAUAAACAAAACUUGGUUCCUGAUUGCAUAUCUAAUGAAAUCAAGAAGUCAUUUUUUUAUUAAUUCAUUUAAUAAAUAUUUAUUGAACAUCUAUAAUAUGUCAGCAAUAAAUAAGACUGGAUCCUUAUUUUCUGGGAGCUUUUAUUUUAUCAGAGGGGGGAGGUAGAAAAUGCAUGGGCAGACAAAUAAAUGACAUUAUCCAGUGAUGGUGGUGCCCUGCAGAUUGUGUACAUGGGAUGCUGUGUCAGAGCAAAAGGGCUGCUGUUUUCAGUUGGUGUGAUUAGGAAACCCUCAUUUGAAGCAAAGAGAGAAUUGCAAGAAAAAUCCAGACACAGAAAGAUUAAGAGGAAGAAUAAUCUAGGCACAGGGAUGCACUUCUAUUUUGGAACUUAAAUAGAUGAGAAUAAAGGAAGCUGAGACUUUCUGGGAAGGUUAAUGACUUCAUGUCAGAAGUGAAAAUGUGGAUUUGUCUGAUAGGCAGCUGGAAAUAACAUCUGGCUACAUAGUAAUAGAUUACAUCAGUGGGCAUAGAAUUCAGGAAUAUCCAAAUUGGAGAGAUAAGUUGAAGUGAUGAUUAUGGUUGAGAAAGAGAUAAAGGAGACAAUUUCGAAGAAAGAACCUAACUGAUAUAAACAAUUUCCAGAAAGAGUUGAGAGGAUAGGACCUAUGGCCCAGGAUAACAUAGGACCCAAGAAGGGACAGGAUGCUUCCUUUGUGGUAGGGAAUAAGUAAAGAUGAGUAAACCUAAGUUUUAAAACAAUGGGAAGGGAAAUUGAGGAAGAUAUCACCUAGAGAGAUUUGUUUUUAAAGUAUUUAGGAUAUGGACUUGAAGCAGAAUAGUACAAGUUUAGGAACUCAACCAUAAAAAGUUUGUGCAUGAGAGAACCCACUGGGGGCAAAUCGAAAAAAUUGCUAAGCAUCAUAGAAAUUAGACUACCUGAUUUUGCUUUUUCUGCCAUUUACCAUAUUAAAAAUAUAGAAAUACAAAUUUCAUAAUUGGAGCUUUCAGAUAAUAUAUGAUGGACUAAGUUUGACAUUUGAAUCAAAAAUACUUGUCAUGAAUUUUAUUUCCAUCUGCUACUGCAUGUUUCCUUACCACUUCCCUGUGCACGUUUAGUUUGGUAGCAGCAUAUGACUUGUGAAGUAAAUGGAGGCUGCAGCUGCACAGAUACCCUAUUUUUUCCUAGCCCUGACUUUCCCCAGAUUGUAUGGUAUGCUAAGCUAGAGCUAGUGUGUUGAAUUAAGACUCUCCAGAUUAUGACCUGCUAAAUAAGGGAUUACAAGCUACCUGCACAGGAGUAACAGAGAGUUCCUGCAGCAUCCAGGCUCCCAUUUUGGGACAGUGAAACAUAUAGGGUGAUUUUGAUUGAAAACACAGUUUCAAUACUGUACAUCCACAGAAAGGAAGUAGUCUCAAGAUUUAUAAAUUAUGGAUCCCAGAAGCAAGGGGGUGCAAUGAGUCUGAUGAAGAAAAUCCUCUAUCUCAGGUCACCAGAGACCAGGAGAUAAAGAGAAGGGUAGCAAGCACCCACUGCUUAUGAUGUGAUUGGGGUUGAGGUCACUAACUUUUUGAAGGCUUUAAUUUGAAGUGGUUAUUUUAAAAAAUGCCCAGGAAUAGUUAAGAAGGAACUUGGAGUUCCCGUCGUGAUGCAGUGGUUAACGAAUCCGACUAGGAACCAUGAGGUUGUGGGUUCGGUCCCUGUCCUUGCUCAGUGGGUUAACGAUCUUGCGUUGUCAUGAGCUGUGGUUUAGGUUGCAGACAUGGCUCUGAUCCCGCGUUGCUGUGGCUCUGGCGUAGGCUGGAGGCUAUAGCUCCGAUUCGACCCCUAGCCUGGGAACUUCCAUAUGCUGCGGGAGCAUCCCAAGAAAU
ensembl:lncRNA